GCCAGCAUGGCUCAGUGGUUGAGCACCAACCUGCGAACCAGGAGGUCACGGUUCGAUUCCGGGUCAGGGCA
rnacentral:tRNA from 1 species